ensembl:lncRNA
AGACUCGGACUCACGACUGUAUAUUCAUAACUCGCACAAAUCAACUCGUAGGACUCGUAAGCAAAGGGAACCAUUUCAUAACGUUCUUGGAACUAUCUGGUUUGAUGAUCAAAACCUGACGUUUAUACAUGAGCUCUCACCCAAUGACGCACUGGAGCUACACAGGGACCGCCUUCCUCAUUUCCAUAUUGAACAUGAAAAGGUUUGGUCCUCCAUAUUAAGGGGUUUCCUGUGGGUACUCAGGUUUCCUCCCACAGUCCAAAGACAGUUGUACACUGAGUUUCCUGGGACAGACUCCAGACUCCCCUGCAACCCUGUGUGGAGUAAGCAGUACAGAAAAGGAUAUAUAUAUAUUUCCAUAAAGAAAACUACCCUGAAAAACAAAACAAGAACUAAAAAAUGAUCUGUUCUGAAAAUGUUUCUGGAACUGAAAACAUGAUGCUUUUAGUAACAAAAAUCUGUUGUACAUGUCGUUAGUCUUACAUAUUUUGCAUGGCAGCACCCUCCCAGAAAAAAGAGCACUAAACAUGACCAUUCCUUUUCAUUGGGCUGGUACCCUGUAACUUUAAUAUAUUUCACCUAUAAAUAUGUGCUUUUUAAAAAAGGCCCGUAAUCUCCUUUUAGCGCAACUCUAUGAACAUACACUACAUGUACUUUUCAAGGUAAAGUAUACUAACAAUACAAAAAGUGCACCUUUGAGUGUACCACCCCAUUGACAAAGAAUGGUUCAUUGCAGUACCCUUUAUUUAUGAGUGCAGCAGUAGUUUCAGCAGGUUUUUUUCCCCAGCUUGGACACCAAUGUAGUAUUGCCCUGGGGGGAGGGGUUUUUUAAAUGUCACAAGCCAGUCUACUUGUGUGUCAUAGUACAUUUAAUUGUAACCCAAUACAGAGGCAAACACGUGAAAUGCGUCUGUCAGCACCACUAUUCUUAGAGCCUUUCCUCAGUUUAUCUUAUGGACAUGCGAACAAUACCACAGAUACCUGGGUUACUAUGGACUUCAUGCAUGUCAUGCACAAAAUCAGAUUUGGAGAAUAUGCAGAACAAUAAAAGCACUGGGAAACUGGUAAUUGGGUUUUUAUGAUGUUACAAUCAUAUUGGAUCUCAUACAUUUAUGCUCAUUCCAAUUAAAUGGUUUCUUUGUCUGUCUGGUCACAUGCAAGCACAAGAUUGUACAGUAUACUGCAUGAACUCAGAAAAUUGUAUGCUGUUUCAGAAACAUGCUCAGGGGCCAGGUUAAAAGGAGUGCAAAUCAAAUCAUCUGUAAUUUUUUUAAGAUAACACAAUCUUGCAAUA